rnacentral:sRNA from 1 species
CUGACAGCCCAGGAGAUCAACGUCCUUGACUUAUGCACAGAACAGGUGCAGCCCGGGCAGCAGCAAUGCAAGCUUCCCAUAGGCUGCCCCACCGAUGGGCCUCCACCCUGACCUUCACCCUCGUAAGACCAGCUCUAGCCAGCGAGCAGUUCGGUUUGCAGGGACAGAACUCAGACCCUCUUGUUCUAAUAGCCAAG